rnacentral:rRNA from 1 species
GAUGAACGCUGGCGGCGUGCCUAAUACAUGCAAGUCGAGCGAACGGACGAGAAGCUUGCUUCUCUGAUGUUAGCGGCGGACGGGUGAGUAACACGUGGAUAACCUACCUAUAAGACUGGGAUAACUUCGGGAAACCGGAGCUAAUACCGGAUAAUAUUUUGAACCGCAUGGUUCAAAAGUGAAAGACGGUCUUGCUGUCACUUAUAGAUGGAUCCGCGCUGCAUUAGCUAGUUGGUAAGGUAACGGCUUACCAAGGCAACGAUGCAUAGCCGACCUGAGAGGGUGAUCGGCCACACUGGAGCGGAGACACGGUCCAGACUCCUGCGGGAGGCAGCAGUAGGGAAUCUUCCGCAGUGGGCGAAAGCCUGACGGAGCAACGCCGCGUGAGUGAUGAAGGUCUUCGGAUCGUAAAACUCUGUUAUUAGGGAAGAACAUAUGUGUAAGUAACUGUGCACAUCUUGACGGUACCUAAUCAGAAAGCCACGGCUAACUACGUG